rnacentral:rRNA from 1 species
UACGGGGGGGGCAAGCGUUGUUCGGAAUUACUGGGCGUAAAGGGCUCGUAGGCGGCCAACUAAGUCAGACGUGAAAUCCCUCGGCUUAACCGGGGAACUGCGUCUGAUACUGGAUGGCUUGAGUUUGGGAGAGGGAUGCGGAAUUCCAGGUGUAGCGGUGAAAUGCGUAGAUAUCAGGAGGAACACCGGCGGUGUAGACGGCUUGCUAGACCAUAACUGACGCUGAGGCACGAAAGCGUGGGUAGCAAACAGG